CCACUUGUUGGAAAAAGAAUGACUUAGUUUCAACACCAAGAGGGAGGGGAGGGGGGGGGGGUGAAUUGGUGAGUUUCAAAAGCCAGAGUCUUUUUCAAAUAUUUUUCGCAAAAUGUAAAGCUUUCAAAAGUUUCUUGAAUCAGAUAUGAAAAAGAUAAAUCAGUGCAACGAAAUAAAGUUGACUAUACUAAAAUUAAAGUCGACUUAAAAUAAAGAGUUCAGGGAUAGAGAAAUUCAAAUGCAGUUUUUAUACUGGUUUGCCCAAACUGCCUACAUCCAGUGUCUUUCCUGUAUCUAGAAGCAAAUGCACUAUAAUGAUCAAUGUUUUUACAACAAGGUUUCUAUAGAGACCUCCACGUCAAAAUAUAAAACACCACUCUAACCCUCUAACCAAAAUAUAGGUAAUCAACACCCAAAGAAAGCAGCAAGAUAUCCCCUCUCCUACAGUCUUUGUCAACUUUGAACAAUCCUCAAAGUUCCCAGAAUGCAGCACAUCCUCUUCCUGUAAUCACAACAGGGCAUCCACAAUCUUCACAAGAUUGAGAGAAGUGGUUGAUCAAUUUCCAGUACACCUCAAUUGUGUAGUCUGAUCAAUCUUUUCUAUCAGCACAACCUUGCUCUUCAAGCAACUAUCCAAGAAAGAUCUCUACCGUCUUCUUGAUGAGUUCUUGGAGCGUUUUCACAGAGAUCACAAACUGAAACGAUAGAAUGAAAAUGUCAGAAUAGCCAAUGUCUCUGAUCAACAAAAUCAUGUUUAUUUAUAGUUUUCUAUAAAUCAGACGCUUCUGUAUUCGACUACAAUACUAAUACAAUCGACUGUAUCAAGAUAGUUUUGAUAGUUAAAACAAUUAAUAGCAGUCAUAACAACCAAAUUGAUUACACAUUUAAUUCAGUUGACUUGCAAUUAAUGCUUUGACUAAAGAAUCAAAAUAUAGUUGUUAUAGUUAAAAAGCAUUAACAAAAUUUCAAAACAUAACUUACUAAGUCAAGUUGCCUACGCAUAUAGUUGACUAAGUCACCUCAAUGCAAUUUUGAAAAAAUUUCCUUUGCAAAACUACACACAACACUGUUUUUUAAAAUCGGUGCAAAGUCACGAGUUUUAAUCGACUUACUUCAUAAUGAAGUGGACUUAAAACUUGCAGUUUUGCCACACAAUAUAAGUUCAACAAAGUGCAUGUGGUUUUUCUUUUCUGAAACAUAUGUAAUGUAAUCACAUAUGAUAUCUCAUGUAGAAAAGUAGUGAAUAUGCAUACAUAUACAAAAUCAACACAAACAUGUUCUUUAAGAAUUCAAACACCAUAAAGUUUUGAACAUGUAACCCAUAUCAAAUCAUGUGUUAUUAGUAAUGUGUUGUCAUCAUCAAAAACCAGAACAUUGUGAGAUUAAGGUUUAGCUAAACCAGUGCUUCCCUUAUCAACAAUCUCAACACCAUUGUUGUAUGUUAAUAUCAAGUAUGAUAUAUUUCUUUGUUUAACUAUUGGGUUGAUUAUCUUUUACUAAGGUGUGUUACUUUGGGAGUAGCUCUUUCCAUGAUUAUCAUGAAAGAUUACUUGUAUAUUUUAUACAAGUAUGAAUUAUAUUAUUCUAGUUGAAAUUAGAAAAUUCAAUUGCAUGUGAUGAGUGUCUAAGAUUGGUAGAAUAGUCUCUUUGUAUGGUCAUCAUGAAAGAGUAAUUCUAUGUUUUUAUACAAGUAUGAAUUUGUAGUUGAAAAUAAAAAAGCCAAUUGCAUAUGAUCAGUAACUAAGAUUGGUAUAAUAGCCGCAUGGCCAUCAUGAAAGAGUACUUGUAUGUUUUAUACAAGUGUGAAUUGUAUUGUUCUAGUUUAAAGUAGGAAAGUCAAUUGCAUGUCAUAAGUGCCUCAGAUUGGUUGAGUAGUCUCUUUGCAUGUCAUCAUGAAAUAAUUAGACAUCUUAACAUCUUAAACCCAAUAAGAAUAAAUUUCAAAUUCACAAUUAUAAACCCAAAUAAAUAGAGUACUUUACCUCUUGUUGAGCUCUAAUAAACUCAAUCUUACUGUUGAAAGGCUUUUUGGCCGCACAAAAAGUCAACAAAACCUAAUCCCCACUAAUGUAGUAUAGGGCGGACUAGGGAUCAAUCCAAGGACUUGGCAAAAUCAAGUUUAGAAUUAUAGAAUUAAACCUAAUUACUAUUUACUAAAAACUAAAACUGGUGGGGAAAAUAAAAUGUAAAAAUGAAAUCUAAUAUGAAAAGAUAAUGCAAUGCAUGAUUGUGUGUAUCUAAAUGAUUAAUGCAAAGGAGUUAAACUAUUGAACCUAAGUAUCUACUAAAGAAACUAAAGAUCAUAUGCAUCUAAAACGAGUAAAGAAAUCAAAUGCUUAACUUUGGAAUACAGAUGCAGGAAAGAAAUGUGGAAGUAGUGAUUAGAAAUGAAUGGAUGCAUGAAACUAAUGCAUAAAUCUACACUAAACAGUAAUUGUGUUAUUUAUUUCAAUAUACUAUAACUAUGUAUUCAAAGAAAAGAAAAUAUCAGAACCUAAUAAAAUGCAUGUCAUCUAAAAUUCUAAAAACCAGAAUUAAGAAAGGAAAAUGUGUAUUCAGAGAACGAAAUGCGCAAUUGAAGAAUCCUAAUUCUAUCAAGGAGAAGUUCUAUUGCAAAGUGUGAAAAUAAAUCUCAAAUGUAAAAUAAAAUAUUGAAACAAAAUAAGAGGCAACAAAAGAAAACUAAGAACAGGAAACUGAAUUGAAAGAAUCAUAUAACUGAAUCAUAAAGGGCAAUGAAUAAAUCUACGCAACUCAGAAUAUAAAACUGAAACAUAAAAUCACUAAAUGAUAAGGCAGGGAAAGUAAAGUCAUGUGCGAGGAUCAAAAUUAAAAAGCGGAAUUGUAAAAUGGGAUCAAGAACACUAAAAGUAAACAUCAUAUUUCAAUUAAAAUUCAAGAACAAAAGUACAAAUUACCGGAAUCACUAAGAAAAUCACGGCCUGUCACCCUCAUGAGCUCCUCAGAAAAAUCCAGUGAAGCCAAGAUCGUAUCUACCUCUAAGAAAGCAGUAAAACCUAAACUACAAACAGAGAAUUGGAAACCCAGAACCCAGAGCCUAGAGCAAAGUCGAGAGCGGUGUCUGUCACCCUUGUGUUUUUAUACUUCACAAAACCUCCCUUUUAUAGGGAAAAAUCCAAACAACAAAAAAUGGAAAAAGGGGAAAAGGGAAGGAACUAAAAACUGACUCUCGAGUGUCCUCCAACGAACUUUGAAAGAGCUUCUUCAACUGUCGACCAACUCAGCACGUGCUCUUGAUGAUCAAGCUUCUCUGGUCCGAUUUGCUUUCUUCUAGGUUGAUUAUCUUCUUCUGGGUUGUCUUCUUAUGGCCCAUUGAGCUCGCUUCAUGCUUCGUCGCAUCACGUCUUCUUCGCUGAAGAACCCUAACUUUAGAAGUUGAGAGAAAAUGGGGAGAAAUCCCCAAAUCAAUUUUAGCCUCUGCACGAAUGGAUCACGUCCUCGAGCUUCACUCACAAGAGUAGCUUCAACGCAACGCAUCGUUUCAUUAAACUCUCCAAAAAAAGGCUUCAGCUUUUCUUUAUUCAAUGGCUCAAUUGUUUCUGUAGUAGUGGCCCAAAACAUUGCACACAUUACUUCAGCUUUUGAACCUUUGCUGACCCAAUUCAACUUUAUCAGCUUCAGCAAAUUAAACCUUAACACUUGAUGCUCAGCCUAAUCUAAUAAGCUCCAGAUUAGAAUUGGCCCAUUUACUCUACUAAGUUCAGCCCACUUUUCAAUUCAUUUAACACCAGCCCCCUUCCUU
rnacentral:lncRNA from 1 species